UGCAAAUACACUCUCUUGUCUACUUUAAAC
rnacentral:piRNA from 1 species